rnacentral:rRNA from 1 species
CCGGCGACCGGCGCACGGGUGAGUAACACGUAUGCAACCUGGCCGUGACAGAUGGAUAACCGGGAGAAAUCCCGCCUAAUACAACAUAAUGCCGGGAGGGGCCAUCCCCUGCCGGUCAAAGGGGGCGACCCCGGUCAUGGAUGGGCAUGCGGCGCAUUAGGUAGUUGGUGGGGCAACGGCCCACCAAGCCGACGAUGCGUAGGGGUUCUGAGAGGAAGGUCCCCCACAUUGGAACUGAGACACGGUCCAAACUCCUACGGGAGGCAGCAG